rnacentral:rRNA from 1 species
GCGCGAAAACUUUACAAUGCUGGCAACAGCGAUAAGGGAACCUCGAGUGCCAGGUUACAAAUCUGGCUGUCAAGAUGCCUAAAAAGCAUUUCAUAGCAAGGGCCGGGCAAGACCGGUGCCAGCCGCCGCGGUAACACCGGCGGCUCGAGUGGUAACCGUUAUUAUUGGGUCUAAAGGGUCUGUAGCCGGCCGGAUAAGUCUCUUGGGAAAUCUGGCAGCUCAACUGUCAGGCUUUCAGCAGAUACUGUCUGGCUCGAGGCCGGGAGAGGUGAGAGGUACUUCAGGGGUAGGGGUGAAAUCUUGUAAUCCUUGAAGGACCACCAGUGGCGAAGGCGUCUCACCAGAACGGACCUGACGGCAAGGGACGAAAGCUAGGGGCACGAACC